AUGACUGAGGCUUGGAACACAGGACUGGGCAGAACAGGGGACAAUGGUGAACAAAACCAGAGGAGAAAAGAUGGGGCAGGCAAUCCAAAAGUGAAUUUUCAGGAGCCAAAGAGCUACCACAUGUUACCUUGUGCAGAAUGUGGUAGCGAUGAUGCAACACUCCGGGAACUUUGUUCAUCAUCCAUAAGUUCCUACAGGCCUGCGCAUCACACGAUCGUUUGGGUCCGGUUACAGCCUCCCUGGAAGAACUUGACAAACAGGUUGAAGCGCCGCCUUUAACGCACGAAACCACCUGCACGGAGCUAUAAAUGUGCGCCCUUCAUCAAGUACCAGAAAGGAAAAGAGAAAACUAAAAACGGAGCUUCCCUGUUCGGAGCUUCCCUAAAUCUUCGUUAUAGCGCUACAGACCCACAGACGACCCAGUAAGCCGAUCUACCCGGAAUUAAAUAGCGGAUAUUUGGAUCGUCGAUUUUUAUUCCUGAUACUGGAAAAAAGA
ensembl:lncRNA